AUUAGAUAUUUCCUAACAAGGAGUUAAGUUAACAAGGGGUCAGUGAACUUCUUUCAAAAGGCAGCCUGGCUCUGUCUGCUGAUGGAUGCCUCUGGGAUUUAUAGAUAACUCCUGCUAAUUCCACCAGGAGCUAAGGCCAGAAACCCCUCCGGCGGGGAGAGGAGAAUUGGCCCCUUCCCCAGCAAUAUUCUGCUGCUGGGCUUUGGAGCAGAAACUGCACUCAUUAAACAGGCAGCUGGUCUGGACUCAGGCAGGUCCCUCAACAUCCUGGAGUUAUGCCCCCAACCACGUGCUGUCUCACCACCACACAGCAAAGGAAUUGCCUCAUCAAGUCUGCAAGCGUUUCCAGCCAAACCCCAAGCUUCAGCUGGACUUCCACUCAACUGGAUGGGAUAAUGGAUUCCAGGUGCCUUUGCUCAGACUUGGAGACCAACUCUGUCCAGCAACCAUCCAUUUCAUGCCUCUGUCCAAAAGAUGCACAAGCCUGGCGUCUUCCGUUGAAAACAAUCUGCUUUACCAAGUUAAAUCCUCAUGCAUAAGGCACAGGUUUUACUUUAGAUUUCGGUUGUAAAGCUUUAAUCUACAGCUCUGGGAGCACAGAACCACCGGCAAUAAACUGGUCUUUAAAGGUUA